rnacentral:rRNA from 1 species
GAUGAACGCUAGCGGCAGGCCUAAUACAUGCAAGUCGGACGGGAUUCAGGAGCUUGCUUCUGCUGAGAGUGGCGCACGGGUGCGUAACACGUAUGUACCUACCUUUAUCAGGGGGAUAGCCUCUCGAAAGAGAGAUUAAGCCCGCAUAAAAUCACAGCACAGCAUUGUGUAAUGAUCAAAUAUUUAUAGGAUAAAGAUGGGCAUGCGGAACAUUAGCUAGAUGGCGGGGUAACGGCCCACCAUGGCGACGCUGUUUAGGGGAUCUGAGAGGAUGGCCCCCCACACUGGUACUGAGACACGGACCAGACUCCUACGGGAGACAGCAGUAAGGAAUAUUGGUCAAUGGGCGGAAGCCUGAACCAGCCAUGCCGCGUGCAGGAAGACGGCCCUACGGGUUGUAAACUGCUUUUAGACGGGAAUAAACCCAGAUACGUGUAUCUGGCUGAAUGUACUGUAAGAAUAAGGAUCGGCUAACUCCGUG